rnacentral:rRNA from 1 species
UACGGGGGGGGCAAGCGUUGCUCGGAAUUACUGGGCGUAAAGGGUUCGUAGGUGGCCUGCUAAGUCAGACGUGAAAUCCCUCGGCUUAACCGGGGAACUGCGUCUGAGACUGGCGGGCUUGAGUACAGGAGAGGAACGCGGAAUUCCAGGUGUAGCGGUGAAAUGCGUAGAUAUCUGGAGGAACACCGGUGGCGAAGGCGGCGUUCUGGACUGUUACUGACACUGAGGAACGAAAGCCAGGGGAGCAAACGGG